rnacentral:rRNA from 1 species
AGUGAACGCUGGCGGUAGGCCUAACACAUGCAAGUCGAACGGCCGCACAGUAGUCGCUUGCUCUUACGGGUGUCGCGUGUCGGACGGGUGAGGUCUCCAUCGGAUUCUACUUUUUCGUGGGGGAUAAUGCAGGGAAACUUCCGCUAAUACCGCAUACGACCUACGGGUGAAAGCAGGGGUUCUUCGGACUUUGUGCGAUUGAAUGAGCCUAUGUCGGAUUAGCUAGUUAGCGGGGUAGAGGCCCACCACGGCGACGCUCCGUAGCUGGUAUGACCGGAUGAACAGACACACGGGAAGAGAGAAACAGCACAGACACUGACGGGGAGCAGCAGUGGGGAAUAUUGGACGAGGGAGGAAAGCCGGAUCCAGCCAUACCGCGUGGAUGAAGAAGUACUUCGGGUUGUAGAGCCCUUAUGUUGGGAAAGAAAAGAAGCAGGUUAAUACCCCGAGGUACUGACGGUACCCAAAGAAUAAGCACCGGCUAACUUCGUG